UCCAGGGUAGCCUAGUGGAAUCUGCCCGGUAAGCGGAACACUGUGGGUUCGAUUCCCAUCCCUGGAC